rnacentral:lncRNA from 1 species
AUCUUUUUGAUGAUGAUGUCGAACAGAUUGUGGACAAGCAGGUACACCACAUCUAGAUGAAUGUUGUUGCGCAAGAAGCACUAAAACUAUCUAUAUGUUUAUGCUAACUUAAAUUCCAACAAACAUUCAGGGAGGCACACUUGAACGAAAAUGGGAGGAUAGAUCCUGAUGAAUGGAAAGUGUUCAGAAGUAAAAAAAAUCUCGCUGAAGCACCUGCGCUAGUUAUGACUCUCUCAUACCCAGAAUAAGUACAUCUAUAUUUUCAGCUUUCAUAAACAAUGCUUGAGAACAUGACUCUUAGUCUUAACUGACAUCUCACUAUGUUGUGAUGCAGGGUCAUAACUAUGUCAUUCACUCUCAACCUGCGCUACAAAAUUAUUGGUAUAUGCGAUUUACGGUAAGAAUUAUUCACUGAUAUUCAGAGAGCAAAAAAUUCAGAAAUAUGAAUUAGCUAAGCACCUAAAAUUUGAUUCAACAUGCACCUCUUGGCCCUUGAAUUUAGGUUUAUUUUUGUUUGCUCCUCAGGUCCAUGCAUGACAAUCAAUUUGUCCUAAUCAACCUCUGUUUUUUGAAUAAUAAAUAAACCUAACGUUCUUAUUCUUAAAUAGAUAGAAGUGCUUCUGCUUAGAAGAAGAAAAACGCCACUUUGUGCAACAUGGAUACAUUAUUCGUGUUUAUUUCUCUGCACAUAGGCUUCCAAAUUACUUAUAUGCGGGAUACACAUGGGCUUCUGUAAACAGCUACAUGAAGUUCAGGCUUAUGUAAACAGCUACAUCAAGUUCAGUUUACUUUCAUCAAUUCUCCAUUUCCUAGGUUGUGUUUAUUUUUGUACAUACUUAUUGGGGGAUUUUUUCAAAAGCUAAUAUAUAUGCAUGCCUGUUGGCAACCUAUCAAAGAUCACUGCCGUGUUGAAUAUGAAGAGGUCAUAUCUGAAUGUCAUAGGUUUUUCUCAAAAGCUAAUAUACAUGCAUGCAUGUUGGCAUCCUAUGACAUUUUUAUAUGGCCUAUGCUAAAACCCUACGACACUCCUGCCUUUUCUCUCCCUCGUAGCUACUCGCAUUAGUACAUAAGGUCCCAUAUCUAAUUUUAUUUUUGACAAAGUUAUCAUAUGCAUGUUCUGUUAGUCUCAAUACUUAUUUAGAGAGCACAAGCACCCAUAUCUGAAUUAAAUUUUUGCACCGAGUUAUCAUAUACAAAUUCUGUUAGGCUGCAUACUUAUUUAGAGAGCAUGUUAAUAUGAUUCUGAUUGCUUCUAUCUAUUACAUGUUACAUUUACAUUCGACAACUGUGAUACCAUAUAUGUCUUGGAUGACAAGCUUAUUUUCAGAUUUGGUCAGAGCCCAUCUGUUGCAAGUGUCGGAUGAUUUUCUGCUGAUGGCAAGGUUCUAGGACGAUUCGGUGGUUCUUACUGCAUAGUACUGUUGCUGCUCCCAUUAAUAUACAAGUAUUUGACGAGAAAAUUUCCUGCGGGGGGGCUCAAACGGGGCUGCUGGCACCCUAUACAUGCAUACAACAGUCACGCCCUGCCCUCCCUAUUUGAUCAUUUGGUUGGGUAAAUUUUGUUUCAUCCUUUGUUUAGCUUUUAAGUUCAAGCGACCUAAUUUACCAUUUUUAUAGUAUCAACAUGGAUGAGUUGAUUGGCUUAGUUUACUUUGUUUCUCCUACGGAUAGGACAACAUCUAUGAUUUUAAGCAUGCUACCAGUUGCCUG